rnacentral:rRNA from 1 species
GGUGCUCUCAUUAAUAUGCCAGUCCUAUCGAUAGAUAGGAGCCUGCUCUGGGGGAUUAGUGGCGAACGGGUGAGUAACACGUGAGCAACCUGCCCCUGACUCUGGGAUAAGCGCUGGAAACGGCGUCUAAUACUGGAUACGAAUAUCAAUCGCAUGGUUACUUGUUGGAAAGAUUUUUUGGUUGGGGAUGGGCUCGCGGCCUAUCAGCUUGUUGGUGAGGUAAUGGCUCACCAAGGCGUCGACGGGUAGCCGGCCUGAGAGGGUGACCGGCCACACUGGGACUGAGACACGGCCCAGACUCCUACGGGAGGCAGCAGUGGGGAAUAUUGCACAAUGGGCGGAAGCCUGAUGCACCAACGCCGCGUGAGGGAUGACGGCCUUCGGGUUGUAAACCUCUUUUAGCAGGGAAGAAGCGAGAGUGACGGUACCUGCAGAAAAAGCGCCGGCUAACUACGUGCCAGCAGCCGCGGUAAUACGUAGGGCGCAAGCGUUAUCCGGAAUUAUUGGGCGUAAAGAGCUCGUAGGCGGUUUGUCGCGUCUGCUGUGAAAUCCCGAGGCUCAACCUCGGGCCUGCAGUGGGUACGGGCAGACUAGAGUGCGGUAGGGGAGAUUGGAAUUCCUGGUGUAGCGGUGGAAUGCGCAGAUAUCAGGAGGAACACCGAUGGCGAAGGCAGAUCUCUGGGCCGUAACUGACGCUGAGGAGCGAAAGGGUGGGGAGCAAACAGGCUUAGAUACCCUGGUAGUCCACCCCGUAAACGUUGGGAACUAGUUGUGGGGUCCAUUCCACGGAUUCCGUGACGCAGCUAACGCAUUAAGUUCCCCGCCUGGGGAGUACGGCCGCAAGGCUAAAACUCAAAGGAAUUGACGGGGACCCGCACAAGCGGCGGAGCAUGCGGAUUAAUUCGAUGCAACGCGAAGAACCUUACCAAGGCUUGACAUAUACGAGAACGGGCCAGAAAUGGUCAACUCUUUGGACACUCGUAAACAGGUGGUGCAUGGUUGUCGUCAGCUCGUGUCGUGAGAUGUUGGGUUAAGUCCCGCAACGAGCGCAACCCUCGUUCUAUGUUGCCAGCACGUAAUGGUGGGAACUCAUGGGAUACUGCCGGGGUCAACUCGGAGGAAGGUGGGGAUGACGUCAAAUCAUCAUGCCCCUUAUGUCUUGGGCUUCACGCAUGCUACAAUGGCCGGUACAAUGGGCAGCGAUACCGUGAGGUGGAGCGAAUCCCAAAAAGCCGGUCCCAGUUCGGAUUGAGGUCUGCAACUCGACCUCAUGAAGUCGGAGUCGCUAGUAAUCGCAGAUCAGCAACGGUGCGGUGAAUACGUUCCCGGGUCUUGUACACACCGCCCGUCAAGUCAUGAAAGUCGGUAACACCUGAAGCCGGUGGCCUAACCCUUGUGGAGGGAGCAUCGAAAGUGC